AACGAACGCUGGCGGCGUGGAUAAGACAUGCAAGUCGCACGGGACCAGGUUUGUAGCAAUACAGGCUUGGCUCAGUGGCGCACGGGUGCGUAACACGUGAGCAAUCUGCCGGGAAGUGGGGGACAGCUCGCCGAAAGGCGAAUUAAUACCGCAUGUGGCCAUUCCUUGAUUAAGGGAAAAGCCAAAGCAGCAAUGCGCUUCCUGAUGAGCUCGCGGCCUAUCAGCUAGAUGGCGGGGUAAAGGCCCAACAUGGCUAUGACGGGUAGCUGGUCUGAGAGGACGACCAGCCACACUGGAACUGAGAUACGGUCCAGACACCUACGGGUGGCAGCAGUCGAGAAUUUUUCACAAUGGGGGCAACCCUGAUGGAGCGACGCCGCGUGGAGGAUGAAGGCCUUCGGGUUGUAAACUCCUGUCAUGCGGGAACAAGCAAGUGAUAGUACCGCAAGAGGAAGAGACGGCUAACUCUGUGCCAGCAGCCGCGGUAAUACAGAGGUCUCAAGCGUUGUUCGGAUUCAUUGGGCGUAAAGGGUGCGUAGGUGGUGACGCAAGUCUGGUGUGAAAUCUCGGAGCUUAACUCCGAAAUUGCACCGGAUACUGCGUAACUCGAGGACUGUAGAGGAGAUCGGAAUUCACGGUGUAGCAGUGAAAUGCGUAGAUAUCGUGAGGAAGACCAGUUGCGAAGGCGGAUCUCUGGGCAGUUCCUGACACUGAGGCACGAAGGCCAGGGGAGCAAACGGGAUUAGAUACCCCGGUAGUCCUGGCAGUAAACGGUGCACGUUUGGUGUGGGCGGGUUCAGACCCCGUCCGUGCCGGAGCUAACGCGUUAAACGUGCCGCCUGGGAAGUACGGUCGCAAGAUUAAAACUCAAAGAAAUUGACGGGGGCCCGCACAAGCGGUGGAGUAUGUGGCUUAAUUCGAUGCAACGCGAA
rnacentral:rRNA from 1 species